GACGAACGCUGGCGGCGUGCUUAACACAUGCAAGUCGAACGGAAAGGCCCUGCUUGCGGGGUACUCGAGUGGCGAACGGGUGAGUAACACGUGGGUGAUCUGCCCUGCACUUCGGGAUAAGCUUGGGAAACUGGGUCUAAUACCGGAUAGGAGCCAUCUUUAGUGUGGUGGUUGGAAAGUUUUUUCGGUGUAGGAUGAGCUCGCGGCCUAUCAGCUUGUUGGUGGGGUAAUGGCCUACCAAGGCGGCGACGGGUAGCCGGCCUGAGAGGGUGUACGGCCACAUUGGGACUGGGAUACGGCCCAGACUCCUACGGGAGGCAGCAGUGGGGAAUAUUGCACAAUGGCGCAAGCCUGAUGCAGCGACGCCGCGUGGGGGAUGAAGGCCUUCGGGUUGUAAACUCCUUUCGCUAGGGACGAAGCUUUUUUGUGACGGUACCUAGAUAAGAAGCACCGGCUAACUACGUG
rnacentral:rRNA from 1 species